rnacentral:rRNA from 1 species
AUUGAACGCUGGCGGCAGGCCUAACACAUGCAAGUCGAGCGGGUGCAUCGAUCUCGCUCCUGGAUUCAGCGGCGGCCGGGUGAGUAAUGCCUAUGAAUCUGUCUUGUCGUGGGGGAUAACGUCCUGAUACGGGCUCUAAUACCUCAUACGUCCUGUUGCUGAAAGUGGGGGAUCUUCGGUCCUCUCGCUAUCAUAUUAGCAUAGUUCGGAUUAGCUAGUUGGUGGGGUAAAGGCCUAACAAGGCUACGAUCCGUAACUGGUCUGAGAGGAUGAUCAGUCACAUUGGAACUGAGACACGGUACAGACUCCUACGGGAGGAAGCAGUGGGGAAUAUUGGACAAUGGGCGAAAGCGUGAUACAGCCAUGCCGCGUGUGUGAAGAAGGUCUUCGGAUUGUAAAGCACUUUAAGUUGGGAGGAAGGGCAGUAAGUUAAUACCUUGCUGUUUUGACGUUACCAAAAGAAUAAGCACCGGCUAACUUCGUG